GCCGUGGCGGGUGGCGCAGAUAUUUUUUAUCUUUCGAAUUCGAAAGUUAGACACACGUGCGGUUUUGUCAGUAGAUACAUGUGGAAUGAGUGUAUUUUGCCCUUACUGUUACUCUGUGUUGCGGAGUUUUCCGUGUAAGCAGUGAAAUUUUUGUUGUGUCCAACAUGAUUUUUCAGUGUCAUGUGUGCAAUAAGGUCUAUCCUAAAAAAGGAAAUUUGAAUAGACAUCUGUUAGAGGUUCAUGGACUGCAAAUAGAGCAGAAAAAAUUGUGUGCGCCCUGGGUAAUGAAAGAAGUACUUCUGAAAAGUGCCUGUUUGAACAUUUACAGUCUGAACAUGAAGUAGAUGUGAAAUAUUACAUUUUAGUACCGCUGAUGAAUUUCAGAAGUGGAAGGAGCAAACUGAGCAGACAACGCUCUCAAAGUUCGUCAAACGUCGUGUUUCCCAUGCUAAGGUUUGAUUCAGAAGUUGUUUCUUAUAUUUGUCACCUGUCUGGUAAGUUUGUGUCUAGACGAAAAAACGUGUGAUGUCUUAAAUUGCAAGGUAGUAGUAAGAUUGAUGCACUGUGCCCUGCUAAGAUGAGUAGAUAUAUAAAAGAAUGGAACCUGCUGUGUGAAAUAUGUUUCAACCCAUGUUGGCCACAAAUCCGAGUUAUGUCAUUUGCAACUAACAAAAAGAGAAUGGGAAAGUAUUGCUGCAGAUAUAGCAAGUGGCAUACCAUUCUGUCAUAUUAGCCAAACUUCGAGAUGCAGUUGUAGAUUCGAACUUGGAAACGAUAUAUUUGGUUACGAGACAGGAUCUACAUAAUACAGAUCAGUCUUAUAAUUUGUCCUUAAAGUCAUAAAGACACCAUAAUGAUGCAAUAAAUGUUGAAGCAUGGGUAAAUGAAGUAAAUGGUGGAGACAGUCCUUGUGUGCUUUUCUAUAGAUUAGAUUAAUACUUGUUCCAUAGAUCAUGAAAACGACACUUCGUAAUGAUGUGGAACGUGUCAGGUUAAAGAAAGAUGUCUGUACAAGAUAUUACAUUACACAAAAUAUUGCAUGACACUAAUGCUUAAGUUAGUUUCUUUUUCCUCCCUUAAUUUAUAUCAAAAAUUCAGCCAAUGAGUAGAAGUUGUCAUCUAGAAAUUCUUUUAAUUUAUUUUUAAAUGUUGGUUGACUAUUUGUCAGGCUUUUGAUGCUGUUUGGUAGGUGACCAAAGACUUUUGCGGCAGAAAAAUGUACCCCCUUCUGUGCCAGUCAGAUUUAAUCCUGCAUAGUAAAGAUCAUCCUUUCUCCUGGUGCAAUAGCUAUGCACACUGUUAUUACUCUUGAACUGGGCUGGAUUAUUAGCAACAAAUUUCAUAAGUGAAUAUAUAUACUGUGAGGAUCCCUAGAUCCUUAAAUAGAUGUCUGCAGAAUAACCGUAGGUGGACUCUAGCAAUUAUUCUGAUUACACGUUUUUGAGCAAUGAAUACUUUUCUCCUCAACGAUAAAUUACCCCAGAAUAUGAUACCACACGAAAGCAGUGAAUGAAAGUAGGCAUAGUAAGCUAAUUUACUGAGAUUCUUAUCACCAAAAUUUGCAAUAACCCUAAUAGCGUACUUAGCCGAACUCGGACGUUUCAGCAGACCAUCAAUGUUUAGAUUAAUACUUGUUCCACAGAUCAUGAAUAAGACACUUCGUAAUGAUGUGGAACGUGUCAGUAUGUAGUAAAUGUGUCAAGCGUUUAGACAAAGCUAUUUUUCCAUUGAUGUCAUUUGUGUAGCACAAGCUGUUUGACAGGUUUAAUGUGCUAAAUAAGGGUAAACUGACGAGUAAACUUAAGGACAUUCGCCUUCGGCAUAAAUCGGGGAAUAAUAUUAAGGACUUCAUUACUAUGGAGGUUUCUGGUUGGAAAGUACCUUCUUCUUCAAGAAGGUCAACAGAUUAUUUUGUAUGAUAAUGACUUUCAGUGCAACUGCAGAUUGAUGUGCAUCAAAUGUAGGGCUUGUAUUCAUAGGUAUUCUUGUACAUGUAUUGACUACACCAUCAAAUGGAAUAUGUGCAAGUACAUACAUAGUGUUUGCCAGAUUAAGUUGAAGCAGCAACCUUCUGAACACCCAGGAAAUAGUGAAGUUACACUUAUUUAGAGUGAAGAUAUUUCUGUUGUAAAUGAGAAAACAGAUACUAGCGGAGGUAACACAAAAAGGGUUAAUUAUUCUGUACCUUUGUCAGUCCAAAGAAGGGAACUUAUCGCAGAGUUUUCUGGUAUUGUAUCUGAACUGACCUCAAAUGGCUGGGAUACUGCUAAAAAAAAAAAAAUGUUAUCACUAAAGGCAACUGUAGCUGUCGGAAUGUUGCAGCAAAAACAGGCACCGCUGCAAAUAGAAAGGAAACGAGCACAAAAGAUUUUACCUCAAUGUUGACUGUACUCUACAAAGAAAAACAAAAGGAAUAAUAGUGCAUCCCUGGUUCUACUAAAUUCAGAAGAAUCCAGUUUGAUCAAAUUCUCUCUACUGGCAGACAAAGAAGAUGCACUUGUGGAAAAAGGUUCAGCUGUCCAAAAGCAACCAACAGAGGGUGUAGCAGGUCCAUCCCCCAUUACAGCAUGUGCCCUACAGCACAGCCCGACGAAUUGUAUUAUAAAUCCAGGCGUUAAUGUACAUUUUUGUUAUAAAAUAUCAUUCUAGUUUUAUGCCAUAGUUCCUUGUAAGUUACAGCAAUCCGGUUUGCAAUUCUGCUUGCAGGCUCAACUCCCAUGAUUCAGCCAAUAGCAAAACGGGCUGAGGUGGUAUCUGGUCCAUCUCUCGCUACAUUGUAUGUGCUGAAACACAGCCCGAGUAAUAACUCAACUUCCACAAUUCAACCCAUACCAAAACAGGCUGCAGUGGUACCACAUUCAUCCAUCGGUACAGUGCGUGUGUUGCUACACAACAAAUGGUGAUUUUCUAUUAAUCAAGGCAUUAGUGCUGUUCUCCCACAUUUAAACCAGUGCCAGGCCAGGAUAAGAUGGCAUCAGUGCCUUCCCUUACUACAGUGCAUGUGCUGCAACACGGCUAUGGAAUGGUUGGUUCUGUGACAGCAUGGAUGUGAUAGAUGGAACGACAGCAUCGCCUAUGCCUCUGAGAAGCACAAGCAGAAUGUGGAGAUGGUACAGGAUGAAGCAUGUAUCAUUGACCAUGACACCUAGCCAAACUGCUAGGUACAGAGUUCAGCUGUGUGGAGAUUUACUUCCUAGUGUUCACAAUACCAACAUAAAGUGCAGCUGCAGGGAAAGAUUCUCAGAGUGAAGGUUGAAGGUGCUGCACUUCAUAUUGGACAGAUCGUGCUUCAGUAGAUUAGUAAUUUGCUGUCAGUCAGUGUGAGUGAACUUGACAUGUUGGUCAACUCUGGUCAAGUGCAGACCACUUUUUUAGUUAGGCUGUGUGCUAAGAUCUUUGAAUUAUUUUCAGCUUGGAACAACAUUGUUCCUUUUAUUUUCUCAGAAUGUGCCAUACAGUAUAUAGGCAAGAUUGUGAACUCACUUUGUAUGAUUGUUUUUCUCCUUAAUUAUCUCCCCUGCUGCUCAGAUGUCUAAAAAAUGUGUUCUUUGUGAAGACUGUCUCUGUAAGUCGAAGCAGUGACCAGCAACACAAUAUUCUGUUUACUCUUGAUUCAAUGCUUAACAUAUUCUGCAAUUGACACUUAUUACAAGUUAAUAGCACAUGCAUAAGCCAACAGCGAAAGUGUUAAUUGCUAAUAUUUGAAUCUUGUGAGUAGCUAAAUGAGAUAAUGCUAGUUUAAUGGCUUCCUACUGUCCUCACAAAUUAUAAACACUAGUUUUUUAUUACCCCCUUCACACCACUUUUCAGCACCUGAUAUGUGCAUGCAACAUUUUUGCUGUUUGGAAAGGUUUUAAAAAAUUUUAUUUCAACACAGUUAGCCAAGAUAUUUUUAGCCAAAAUAAUCAGUUUAAUUCUGCUAGCUGCAAUGGUAUGCAGUGAACUUUUUAAAUGCUAUUAGUAGACUGUACACGAGGAUUGAUUGUUGGGGAUAUGGUAGUUACCUUAUGCAUUGAUUAUCUCUUUGUUCUGUGUUCAGGAGUGUAACAGGCUUGUACUGUGUGUGAUGAGACUAAAAGUUUUCCAAUGAGUGUUGUGCAGUUCUUAACAUACUAGACUUCCAUUUGUUGUUGUGACAGUCAAUUCCUAAUCUAACAACACAGAUUGGUUUUUUCAUUAUUUUUGAAGCUCCCUCCAGACUAAUAGCCAGAAUGCUUCUUUUGAGAAUUUAGGGUUUUUUCUUCCUAACUUUGGAUGCCUGUUUCAUUGUUAGCCGUUUCACCCUGUCAGUUACCAUAUAAUGGUAAAAUUUAACUUGCGGUUCAAGUGGCAUGCUGUGCUGAUGUCAUCAGUGACCAACCUUGAAAUAAUUAAUCCUGUUCCUACUCUAUGGUUGACAUGUUCUUGCAUGUACCCGCAUCUGCUCAGUAAAUUAAUUUUACCUAGUAAAGUGAACAUUUAGAAAAAGUGCUUACAAGAAAUGAAAUAUUAGAGAAUAAUUUCGAGCACUACACAGUUGUUGCCAACAUCACCACACGAGGGCACCUAAGCUGUAAGUAAAGUUUAACCCAUAUAAAUGUGAUUUCUUGUUUCCUCAUUGUCAUGUCACAAGGAGCAUGAGUGUGCCAGCUAAUGCGCAGCAAUAAGUUAAUAAGUUACUUGUCCUGUGACGAGUUGGAGAAUUAAAGUGUCAUAAGAUUGCACCAAGCUUCCUGGUAUGACAGUGGCCACCAAUAGACACUGUAGUAUUUGUGAGGAUGAAUGUGUCAAGUUGACAGAUUCUCAGUACGUCGUACAAAUAAUCAUUUGAUAGUGUGCACACUUGAUUCUAUUUGGGCCUAACUUUUUGUUCUUAGUAUUGGUUAUGUUGAGGCUGCUGUGCAUAUCAUCUCUACCGUGAUUUUCAGAGCAACUGUAUUACCUAAAGUUCUAAUCCAAAGUUCCAUUAAUGUGGUUGUUCUUGAAUCCUGUAGUCUUGGAUUAUCUUUCACACAAUUUCUUAUGGUAUUUCCAGUACUUGAGAAGGAACUCGGAUUUUUCAUUGUUUUGAACACACAUUAUCCACUGCCCACUGACUGUUCCGUAUUGAAGCAUAACUACUGUUUUAUAAUAGGCUUACUUAAAUUUGGCUUGUAACUGCAGUGUGACGUUACAUUGUGCCACAAUAAUCUUCACUAAUCAUUAAUUGUCUAAAAUUAAUAAAGUCUUAGGCCAACAUUCCUUUACUACUUCCAAACUGUUUGCAGUUUUCACCACUGGCUUGUGAAAUAUACUUGAUUACACUUUCAAUACACAUAACGUACUAGUGCUACCAUUGUCUGAUCCCAGUGCAUGUCAGGAGAGCACCAAACUGGGCAGUGACUUUUAAGUAUUUUAUUUACUGCCAAAAAUAUGUCAAUAAAUGUGAUCUGUAAAUACAAAUAAAUCGCCAAAGUAAAAACUGAGGUUAACCCAUCUGUAACUGACAAACUUCCAUUGCUUGACUGAUUGCUGUGGGAUGUUGACAGUUGGAUAAAAUGGCGUCUUUUUCCUUCACAACAUAUAGUGUAAAACAACCCAUCCCCUGUGUUAGUCUCACCUGCAAAGUAACAAACAGCCAAAGGUUUCACUUGACAGUGUUACAUUUCCAGAUCAGGAUAAUCAGUAUUUAAAUUCUCGUUUUCUGUACAUUUGAGGUGCAAUGACUCUCAUUUUCCAUGCCUUGUUGAUGUCUUAUGCUGAUUUCUCGUAGACAGGUAACUUAUUGAAACUGAAAAAGUUCACUGCACUGUUCGUGGUAACACAACUUAUUUAUAGUUUUCAUCAGAUAAUACUAACCUUACAAAGAAUUCUUGGGCUGUAAUUUAUGGGUUGAAAGGCUGUGGUCACUGCAUAAAACUACUACUCCAAGUGCAGGAGACAUCUUCAGAGGUACAAUGGUAACUUUCAUUCUACCUCGGAAGUUAGACAUGAAACGUCAGGAAAAAGUAAUUUUAUACAUCAACCAUGGCCUUUUAACCUGGAAAUUUUGACUCAAGAAAAUGCUGGCCAUGAAAGCCUACAUUGUAUGACUUGACAAAAAUUGUCACCUGCUGUGUCCCAUAGAAGUACAAUAAUUAAUAGUAGUAAUGUUAAGCACAUACUAAAUAAAUUACAUUCAGCAACAUGUUCAAGCAUAUUAUUUAAGGAUGUAUCAUUCAAAAUUAAGCACAGUUUGUUUGUAUUCACUGAGAAAGAAAUAGAACGACACAAACAAUGUAUUCUGCACUAUGCUAAUCUUUAUUUUACCUCUUUGUGCUGCUGUGGAUUGGAAAUAAUAUGUGGCAGAAUAGAUAUGGUGUGAUUUGGAUCCAUUGUCUGAAUGGAAAUGUUGGUAUACUUAAAAGCUAUAUAGAAGAGGUCAGGACAUGUCAAAUUAGCAACAGAUAAAAUAUUUGCACACAGUUAUUUCUAGAUACUAUUUUUGUACUACAAAAUGCUAAGAGGGCAGAUUCUCUAUAUUGACCUGUUUCACCUUGUUCAAGUUCUUAACACUAUGUAGCCUUCUGACAUUGCGUAGAGCUAAACAAAAGGAUGCUUUCAUUUGGGAACUGCUUUUCAACAAUGAAAUUAUUUCAGAGAUAGUACUCAGAACCAUUGAAAGACUACAUAAUUGCCAGAUGAGUAAAGCAAAAUUGUCUCAAAAGUAACUAACAAUACGUAAAUCAAGAUAAUUGUUGGUUUUUGUUAUUCUUUGGGGGGCUUUGAUAAGAGUGUGAAGAACUGGAUUGGUUGUAUGCUAUAAACAGCACUGGAAGACUGAAUUUUGGAGCAACUAUACCCUUGCAAUGUCUAUUAUUUUGCCUUCGAUUUGAUGUUUCAGCAACCUGUGAUGCCAGGAAACUCACAAAUAAACUAUAUCAUGUGCCAGAUGUUGAGCACCAUUGUGUUUGGAAGUUCCAUUGUUCUGUGUGCAAACGGUUUUGGAAGUUUAGAUGAAUAAAGUUUCUGAAACUGACUGGAAAGAAACUUAAUUAUCAAAAAUUAAGAUUUUAUUGCAAUUCAUGAUACUGUGAAAUAUUUUUAUAAUUGCUGUACAUUCAGCUAAAAGUUAAAGUAAAAUUUUCUUGUAAGUUAUGCCUGCAGAAACUUUCGUACUGAAUUUAAUCUUUUCUUUUGGUUUAUAAUUUUGAUGUAAAAUCAUAUUUUCUGUUUAAAUAUGAAGUUUCAAUUGUAUAUCUUAAUAUUUGUAGCUGAUGUGUAGAAUUUUUGAAAACUGUUUUUUCACAUUCUGUAUGUUUUGUAUGUCACUGUAUUACUUCAUAAAGUCUAUAAGAUAUGACAAAUUAUGAAUAUAGUCUUAAAAUUGUAGUAAUAAAUCCUAAUUAAAAAUUUAAUAUUUAAAU